UAAAAACCCCGACUUCGGAAGGGGUGUAUUUAUUAGAUACAAAACCAAUGCCCUUCGGGGCUCUUUGGUGAUUCAUGAUAACUAUACGAAUCGCACGGCCUUGCGCCGGCGAUGGUUCAUUCAAAUUUCUUCCCUAUCAACUUUCGAUGUUUGGGUAUCGGCCAAACAUGGUUGCAACGGGUAACGGAGGGUUAGGGCUCGACCCCGGAGAAGGAGCCUGAGAAACGGCUACUACAUCCAAGGAAGGCAGCAGGCGCGCAAAUUACCCAAUCCCGACUCGGGGAGGUAGUGACAAUAAAUACUGAUACAGGGCCCUUUCGGGCCUUGUAAUUGGAAUGAGUACAAUUUAAAUCCCUUAACGAGGAACAAUUGGAGGGCAAGUCUGGUGCCAGCAGCCGCGGUAAUUCCAGCUCCAAUAGCGUAUAUUAAAGUUGUUGUGGUUAAAAGCUCGUAGUUGAACCUUGGGCCUGGCUGGCCGGUCCGCCUCACCGCGUGCACUGGUCCGGCCGGGCCUUUCCCUCUGUGGAACCCCAUACCCUUCACUGGGCGUGGCGGGGAAACAGGACAUUUACUUUG
rnacentral:rRNA from 1 species